rnacentral:rRNA from 1 species
AACGUAGGACACAAGCGUUAUCCGGAGUUACUGGGCGUAAAGGGCGUGUAGGCGGAUCGGUAAGUCUACUCUGAAAGCUCCUGGCUAAACUGGGAGAGGCGAGUGGAGACUGUCGGUCUAGAGUGAGGAAGAGGAAAGUGGAAUUCCGCGUGUAGUGGUGAAAUGCGCAGAUAUCAGGAAGAACACCCGUGGCGAAAGCGGCUCUCUGGGACGGUACUGACGCUGAGACGCGAAAGCGUGGGGAGCGAACAGG